rnacentral:lncRNA from 1 species
UCCACGGUCCUUUCUGAGUGGUUGUAUCAACAAAGCUGUUCAAUCUUUGCACCCAGAGGUUGCAGUAAGUCUGGAUGCCACAUCAAACUGUUUGUGGUACUUCUAAACUUCGUGGAAGAGCCCUGUUUCAUAAAUCUGAGACAGCCUUGGUCUGAGGGAGCAAAGACAGAGAAUUCACGUGCUGCCCAGGCAUAGCCACAUAGCAGGUGGACAUCCCUGGACACUUUUCUGACCCUCAUUGGAUUUUCCUGGAAGUACGGAGAGUUACAUCCAGAGAACUCUGAACAUUUUGGAAGGACCCCAAUCCUGCAAACAAUGAAUGGCAAUAAAUCCUGGGACUGGAAAGGGGCUUCUCAACCCCAAGGCAACCAUAAAGUCCUAUACAAAGAAAGAUACAGCAGUGUGAAAGAGGCCUGGAUGAAAAAACAAAGACAGAGCCAGUGAGCCAGAGCCAGAGCCAGAGGACAAGAGAGAAAGGCAGAGAAUGGAAAACACAGACAGAGAAGGCAGAUGCGUAGAGAGACAGAGAUUCAAUGAGAAAAUAAGGAAGGAAGAAAGAAAGAAAACAAAAACGUUCUCAGCACUACAACUUCUGCCUUGUUCUGUUCCAGAACAGUAUGAGCUCAGUACUUUUUCAGACUCUCAAUUUUCUACAACUAAUAAUUUGCUCUUUCAGUUAGUGGCAAAGGCUUAACGACAAAGGUUCAUCUUUAAUAUUAGAGAGGCACUUUUAAAAUUUAUGAUGCUAAGCCUUUUGUUCUGGAUAUGGUAUGUUGCACAGGUCUAGGGACUGGGAUUUCAGAUGUCUAUUCCGUACCCUUAUUCUUUUAUUUAUUAAAUCUUUUAGUGUGUAUUUUUUUCUAUUUUCUCUUCUUUUAUUAGUAUGUAUUUCUUGAGUCAUUAACAUACAACAUAUAUAGGACUUCCUCUGAGGAUACAAUAAUGUAUAUGAUGGACAAGAUACGUAAAAGUGCCUUGAAGAGACUUGGUCUUGUGAGGGGACAGACAGGAAACAGGCAAUUAUCACCUAACUUAGGUUUAAUGAAGCCAGCUGUCAUGUUGAUGAGACUCAUGUGUCAAGGAACUGAAGAUGGUCCAUAGCCAACAGCCAGCCAGGAACUGAUUGGCUAGUAGUCCUUGAGGAACUGAAUCUCACCAACAACCAUAUAGUGAACUUGCAAAUGGUGCUUCCUCAGUUGAAACUAAAGAUGAGACUGAAGUCCUAGUUAACACUUUGUUUGCCACCUUGUAAGAUUGUGAAACAGAGGCCUGAGCUAAGCCAUGCCCAGAUUCUUGAUCCACAGAAACUGUGAGAUAAUAAAUGUGCAUUGAUUUAAGCCUCAGAUUUUGUGGUAAUGCUUUACAAAGCAAUAAGUAACUAAUGCAGUAUUCAACAAAUUUUUUGAAAAAAAAAAGAUGCUUGAAGACCUGUAUUUAAUUAUUUUUGUGAAGAAUACUCAAUGUAUACUGACUGCACCUGGGUUUUUAGUCUUAACCAAAUCAUAUACCAGUUUUAUGACCUGGCAAAAAUGUUUUUCUCUCUCUCUAGAGGUCACUUUCUUCAUCUGUUAAACGAGGUAAUUAAUUUAGAUGAUCUUUAAAAUGUCCACUAGAUUUCAUACAUCUAUCACAUAUGAUUUCAUGUAUAUGUAAUGAAAACAAAUUUUAUAUAUAUACAAAAUUUAUUUUCACUUGCAUUUAUGAAACAGGAGAAACAAAAUAAAAUUACAUUUAUUUAUUUUAAUUUAAUCUUGAAAGUAAAUUCAUGUUAUCUUCUAAAAAUGUUUCAGUUUACAAUUCAUCCAUAUUAACUUUAAUAAAAUGAUAUUUGGUUAUCUAACGGAAGAUUUAUUGAAAAUAUAUCUGCUUCAAAUAUCUCAUUAUUUUACAUUUAGUAGCUAAACUAAAUCUUAAAAAUGCUUCUGAGUUUUACCUAAAUGGGUAGUUUCUUAAAAAUACUGAAUUGAGGCUUCUAGCUAAUUGCCUAAAAUGUAUAUUUUAAAAGAUAAGGAAGAAAUUUAAAUGUAGGGAAUAAGAUUAAAUUACCAAAUAAAAUCCAUUUUUUCUAGUAAUUGGCAGAUAAAUUUAAUACAGAAAAACUUUGUUAUUCAAUAUGCCAAAAUAUCUAAUAUUAAAGUGAUAUACUAAUAAAUAUAUUUGGCAUAUUAUUAUGGUACUUUCAGUUCUCAAACUUUUAAAGUAAAAAUAUUGAUCAAGAUUUAUGCAUGACCACUUUUUUUUUUUUUUUUUUAUUUAGACAGUCUCACUCUGUUGCCCAGGCCGGAGUGCAGUGGCGCAAUCUCAGCUCACUGCAACCUCUGCGUCCAGGUUUCAAGGUAUUCUCCUGUCUCAGCCUUCUGAGUAGCUGGGAUUACAAGUGUGUGCCACCACACCUGGCUAAUUUUUUAAUUUUUACUAGAGACAGGAUUUCACCAUGUUGUCCAGGCUGGUUUUGAAUUCCUGACCUCAAGUGAUUCACCGGCCUCGGCCUCCCAGAGUGCUGGUAUUACAGAGGUGAGCCACUGUGCCCAGCCAAUUAUUUCUUUUUGAUGCAAGAAAAUCAUUUAUGGUGCAGAAGUUGUCUAUUUGUCUAUUUUUGCUUUGGUUACCUAUGCUUUUGAGGUCUUACUCAAGAAAUCUUUGUCCAUACCAAUGUCCUAAAGUGUUUCCCCAAUGUUUUCUUCAAGUAGUUUCAUAGUUUCAGGUCUUACGUUUAAGUCUUUAAUUCAGUUUGAUUUGAUUUUUGUAUAUGGUGAGAGAUAGAGGUCUAGUUUCAUUCUUCUACAUAUACAGUUUUCCUAGUAAAAUUUAUUGAAGAGACUGUCCUUUCCUCAAUAUAUGUUAUUGGUGCUCAGUAGCAAAAUAGAAUGACUAUAGUUAACAAUAAUUUAUUGUAUAUUUUAAAAUAACUAGAGAGUGAAUUUGGAAUGUUCCCAAUGCAAAGAAAUAAUAAAUGUUUGAGGUGAUGGACAUCCCAAUUACCCUGAUUUGAUCAUUAUAUAUUAUAUGCUUGUAUCAAAACAUCACAUGUACCCCAUAAAUAUGUACAACAACUAUGUACCUAUAAAUAUUGAAAAUAAAUAAUUUUUUAAAAAGAAAAUUCUGAAUUUGAGAUUUUAAAAUCAAAUUCAAGGUAUAAUACUGGUCAAAAAUUGUGAACCAAAUAUGUUAUUUUAGUUUUUUUAUUGCUGUGGUAACAAAUUAAAACAAACUUAGCCACUUAAAAUAACACCCAUUUAUUAUCUUCCAGUUUUUAUGAUUCCAAAGUGUUGGCUCAGCAUGGCUCUACUGAAUUCUCUGCUUAGGGCCCACGAGGCUGAAAUCAAGUUGUCACCUAGGCUUUGUGUUUUACUAGAGGCUAGAGGAAAGAAUUGGCUUUAAUGCUUAUUGAACUUGGAGGCAGAAUUCAUAUUCUUCUCACGUUUUCAAGACAGCCAAUGGGCAAAAGUACUCAUACUUCAAAUCUCUUUGUUCUCUGCUGAAUCUGUCUACAUUUAAAGACUCAUGAUAUUACAUUGAGCCCACCUGGAUAAUCCAGGAUAACCUCCCUAUUUUAGAACAAUCUUCACUGCCUCUGCAAUUUUUUUUUUUUUUUUGCCAUGUAAUAUAACAUAGCCAUAGGGAUGACACCAAGGGGUGAAUGAGGGUUAUGGGGCUCAAAAUUCUGUCUACCACAUAUGAUGGAGCUCUUCAUUUUCCUCUCACAUUAUGAGAUUCUCUAUUAAGUGUUCAGUUUAAUUAUUCUUUUAGAUAUUAAAUUUUAAAGGUAAGACCAAAUUAACUUUUUAAUAUAAAUGAUAAAAG